rnacentral:tRNA from 1 species
UGGGAUAUGGUGUAAUGGUAGCACUACGGAUUUUGAUUCCGUCAGUUAGAGUUCGAAUCUCUAUAUCCCAG